rnacentral:rRNA from 1 species
UGGGGAAUAUUGGACAAUGGGCGCAAGCCUGCUCCAGCCAUGCCGCGUGAGUGAUGAAGGCCCUAGGGUUGUAAAGCUCUUUCACCGGUGAAGAUAAUGACGGUAACCGGAGAAGAAGCCCCGGCUAACUUCGUGCCAGCAGCCGCGGUAAUACGAAGGGGGCUAGCGUUGUUCGGAUUUACUGGGCGUAAAGCGCACGUAGGCGGACUUUUAAGUCAGGGGUGAAAUCCCGGGGCUCAACCCCGGAACUGCCUUUGAUACUGGAAGUCUUGAGUAUGGUAGAGGUGAGUGGAAUUACGAGUGUAGAGGUGAAAUUCGUAGAUAUUCGGAGGAACACCAGUGGCGAAGGCGGCUCAAUGGACCAUUACUGACGCUGAGGUGCGAAAGCGUGGGGAGCAAACAGG